CUGAACCAUGUCCCUCAGUACAACAUUCAAAUGUUUCUUGAACACCUCCAGGGACGGUGACCCCACUGUCAUGCAGCUUGUGUCAGCACCUGACCACUCUUUAAGAUAACGUACUUGCAAAAAAAAUAAUGUGUGUACAUCACACUGUUCCCUCAUGGCAGUAAAAGCCACGGUGAUGGAAGUCAACUGCUCCUGUGUGAUCUGGGGCUUGUAUUUGAUGAGGUUGAUGAGCAUUCUGCAAGGGAAGCAAAGUCCUGUGAAGCUGGAAGGCAGAUAAAUACAGGUUCAACCAGACUGCAAAAGAAAGUAGGACAAAGAUAAGAAGAAACAAAAGCAGUUAGGUAGGUGCGCUGCUGAGGCUGGACAUGGCUGCUUUCCAAGGCAUUUUAUAGAAGGCAAACAAGUACAGUGGACAAGGAAAAGUUGUACACAAGUCUUCGUGGAAAGUGAACAGAUCAGGUGUUAAUGAUAAAGGCACAUAAUUCUCGUCAAUUUCUAGUUUCCCCAUGCAUGGCCUCCUGAGAGCAUAGGAGCUACUACAGCAGUGGCAAACAGCAGGGUUUAUCGGAUUGGUCAGGUGUCUUCUACAUAUUUCUCCAAGCACAAGAUCCAGCUUUACAGGAAGAGGUAAAAAACACAAUUUCAUGUUAUUCCCUUAUUUUAAUAAAUCCCUGAUAUAGAUGCUGCUUUUAGUAAAGUUAUAAAUGAUAACUGAGAUUUAAAUUAAGCUUUGUCUGUAAGAUAAAAGGGAUUUUUUCUGCUGAAUGUUUUUCCUGAAUUCGUUCUGCUAAAUGGAUUGCUUGCAGUGCAUGCUCACAGAGAGUAAUUCAAGCAUUGACUUCAGUAACAGUGUUAUGCUUACUGCAGGUGUUUAUGUGGAAGUACCUCUUCAGGGCAGCUUAAUACCUCACUGAGCAUUUUGCUCAUUUGCUAGUACUCCAAACUAUUGGACUUUGCUUGUAGUAGGAAUUGACAGAGCUUCAGGAAAAAAAAUAGGACUAAGACUAGUAAGGAAACAAAAAAACCACCAAACUUACAUUUUCCUCAGCACAAGGCAAUAGCUUGUCCUGGCUUAACUGGCAGCAUUUGGAGCCAAUUGUAGUCAUUUGCUUGGUGAAUUUUAUCAGCUCUGCAGAUGUUAGCUGAGGCAUCUUCUUGGUGAAGCUCAGGAGAAGCCUGAAAUGAUAAUUUCUUUGAUAUUGGUGCUUACAUUCAAGCAGCUAACAGUGAGCAAGCCGCUGCCUUCAACUGUGUAAGGCUCCAGCCAAAUCCCACAGCAGAACACUCAUUCCUACUAAGGCAGAACUCAGCCUGGUGUUUACAGACUCAUGUAGGCAAGUAUAAGCAUGCUCCCUGUGAGAUCUCUCCUUUUUCUGACCAGUCUCCUACCAGGCUAAAUAAAAUUAAUGCUAAUGUUGCUGUUUAUAUUUUGGUAGGCUCUCUUUUGAAAUGGUAUGUAUAUUUUCCCUGCUUUGUUCACUUUCCUGGGAGUGCAGGGAGCUUGUUUAGAAGCAAAACUGAACUCGAGUGACUUCUUGGCAGAGCUGAUCUCAGCAGGAGAUAAGCUCCAAAAAGUUGUUUUUUUUUUUUUUCCUACUUAAAAACUGUGCUUAUUAGUCCUGGUGGCUGGGGGAGCCAUAAAAACUGGUACACUAGGCAGAAGUAGCAUACUGGAUUUGUUGGAAACCUCUAGUUCCAGAAGUCUUUUAAAGACCGAACAUGCCCAAGAGUACAAAAAGCUCUCUUUAUCUUCCUCCCCCGACAAAGACAGCAGAAGCCUAAUUUCAUGCAAGCAGUUUAUAGAUUUGAAAUUACUUACAUACUUUGUUAGGCAUGUGCUCAUUAACAUUGCAAAUCAAGGCCAGAAUUCCUGCAGGAGACUUGUGCCUGCAUGUUGCAUUGAAGCACAGCACACAGCUAAGCCAGUCUACUGUAGUUUAUUUUUUGUUACAGUUGUUAGUAUUUGCAUUUGCUGAUGGAAUUAGAGAAAGGUCUUUUGCAGAAGGUGCAGAAAUGGCCUUUUAGCCAAAUUAAUGACUCUUAAGUUACAUCUCACAGCUCAAAAUGCAGUUAUAAAGCAAAGCAAAAACAAAAAACACCAAUGCAUAGCAAAAGUGAAUGAGAGAUUGAACAGGUUGUCAUUUCACUGCCUCAGGAGCCAGGUGAGGAGAAAACUUUGUCUUGGAAGUUAGAAGGAAAGAAAAUCUUACAACUUAUUGGACCAAACAUUCAGAUGAUGUCUUUUAGCCCAGCCUUUUUCUCAUCUAUGAAUUAAUUCUAGCCUACAUUGUUCCCAUCUGGUACAGGCAUCAGGUAAGCAGAAAAAUGUUUUAAAAACAAAAGAUAAAUACUCGUUUUGGAAAUAGUAAUCUCCUUUCUCCUUGUAAAUGUCACAGCUUGUUUUCAUCACACUUUCAGUUUCAUAAAUGUGUUUCUUCAGUUCUUCUUCCUGAGGAAACAGAAUUAAUUUGAGGAAUCACUUUAUCAGUGGGAAUGCAGAAUGUCCUAUUGCCUUAUGAUGAGGCCUUGAUCUCCAUAGCUGCCUCUCACCUGAAAUGCACCACUAAGUUUUAACUUCAUUAGAAACCUGUCUAAAACCUCUAAACUGCCUGAAUGUGACAGAAGUCCACUUCAAUCAUCUUUAAAUAUUAUUUCUAUAAGUAAUGGAGGGCUAGGUUUGAGACAGAGUUCCUCUGAGCUUCAGACGUAUGCAAUGCAGAUGUCUAUAUCUGAGACUGGCUUGGAAGGGACGUUAAAGCCCACCCAGUUCCAAUUCCCUGCCAUGGGCUGGUUGCCUCCCACGAGAUCAGGCUGCCAAGGCCCCCAUCCACCCUGGCUUUGAACACCUCCAGGAAUGGGGCACCCACAGGUCUCUGGGCAGCCUGUGCCAGUGCCUCCCUGAGUAAGGCCUUUUCAAUGUUCAAGUGGGCAAGUGGUGCUGCAGGGGAGCCUAACAGAGAGUGGGGCUCACAGAAAUGCUGUCUCCAUCCCUCCCACUGGCAUCUCUAUCUAUCCAUGUUAAAUCAUUAUAGAAUCAGCAGCAGCUUCUUGCAAAUUAUCCACAGAGAGAGGAGGAGGCUGGAUACCAGAAAUCAGACAUGCACACCAAGAGAAGGUUUCUUCCUGUCCCAUCCCCAGUAGCUCUGAUACCCACAGAAGCACUACUUAGCCAGAACAAGCUGUGUGGUUGUGUGCCUGAAUUCAUCCAUGUAUUAUAGAAGGCACUUACCCCUCUGCUGCAGCAGUUGUCUGGAGAGCCAGUUUUGCAGCACUCAUCCAGUAGGUCCUCGUAUCCUUUACCUAUUCUUAAAAGCAUUUGAGCAGAAAAUUCAGGAUGUCUUCUGGAAUACUCAUAAAGAAACCUGCAAUAUGUAUGCAUUGGGAAUUAGCAAUAAGACAAAACAAUGGCUUUCAGGAGAUUGGGGAUGGUAAGGACAAUAGGGAUGCUUUUGGGUUGCUUUCAUUUGACCUUCCAUGUAAUGGGAAGAAUUUCACAAAAUCACAGCCCAGAAUUCAACUUGAACAGAACAUGACUCAUUAAGCUCUUCCUAUCUAAAUGAAAUAAUUUCCAGUAACAGAGCCAUUUCUCAAAAGAUCUUGAAAAGAUUAGUUGUCCUAAAAGCAGUCACUCUACGUAGCAUUGUGCUCAAUCUCUUAGCUGCACUGUUCGUAAAUGGAAGUGAUGAAUGUCAUUUGAAGUAAAUUAAUUAUCUUUAUUUGUGACUUGAUACUGUUUCUGUUGCAGCUUGUGGCUUUUUUUUUUUUUUUUUCCUAAAUUUGCUACAGGUGGGGUCAGGGCUUUGUCAGAUAAAGGAACAUGUCUAGAAAAGAAAUGGAUCAAACCUGUUUAAUCAAGACAUAAGCAUCAUUUAGGUAUGUGUUUUUAUUCCCAUGUAAGAGUGUAUCAAAGCUAGAUUUUGAGCCUAAGAUCAGAACUGAUAGUACCUAAAUUUCACAUGCAUUUCCUCAGUUUUCUCUGAAAUAAUUGUGUCUUGUUCAGCAUUUGUUCUCAUUCCAUACCCAUUCCAUACAUACAAGACAACCUUGUGCAGUUCCUACAUGCCCACAUGCUCAGAGUGCGGACAAAUCCAAGGCUAAAUGAGCUGAUCUUUAUCUUUCAAACUGCCAUCUUGUAACUCAAGUAGUAGAACAGCAAAAUUGAAGACUGGAGGAAGAUGCAUGUUACCUGGCUAAGUGGGUAUCUUUUUCCUGAGCAAAGCGUUCACAUAUUCCUUUGUCUUCUAUAAACUCCCUAACCUGGGGAGACAAGUUUGCAGGUUUGUCAUCAUUUUCUGCAUUAACAAUGCAUUCAGUUCUUUGGAGCAGUGGCUUUUCACAGCACUUUUUAAUUUUACUUGAUAUGAUGUCUUGGUUAGUGCAGACAUAGUGUAGAAUUUCUUCCUGAAAAGCAAACAAAGGAAGUUUAAUAAGAUUUUGGUCUUUUUUUAAUUUUUAAUUUUUUUUAUUAGCACUGUUAUCUCCAUUUUACAACCAGAGAAGGGGACACUCAAAGGGGAGAAGGAGCUGAAAGCAGUCAGCUGUACAGACUGCUGUACAGUAGUCAUAUGGCAGAACAGGACAGAAGUCAUGUUACUCUACCUGCUGAAGCCUUUUGCUUUCCAUUUGAUAGGUUCCAGAUAACCACCUAAACAGAGAAGUUAGUUAUCUAGCUAGGCAUCACAGACAAGUAGUGAGAUAGAUGGGUUUGGUGUGUUAGAAAAGCAGAGAGAACAGAGGAAAGGCAGAUACAUGUUUUGCUGAAAACUGAACAGAAAAUAUAUGGCACAGCUAGAAGCUGCAACAGGAUUCCCUAGAACAGAAUUAGACCGUUUUAGUCACAAAGUUGAUUUGCUGACUUUUUUUAAAGACUUCAUGACAGAAAAAAGUAAACUGGGAUAAUCAACCAUGAUUUUAGUCUGAAAAAUUAAUCUCUAGAGAAAACGGUACAACACAGAAGGAAAAAAAAAUCUGAAAACAAGAAGGAAAGGCAUAUAAUUUCUGCAAAUGUACAUAAAUAUUAAAUGUUUUACCCUAUCACGCAUACACUCCAGCAUAUCUCCACGACAGCAGUCUUUGUGCAUGUUAGCAAUAUCCGACACAAGUUUGGUAACAGUAAAAAAAUCAGCUUUAGGGAAUUUCUGGCUUAUCUGCACAAGUUUCCUAAAAUGAAGAAAAAUAGUUAUUGCUAAUAUUCUCAGUGUGAAACUGUGAUAGCUUCCAUUACUUGUCUGUAGAGGGCUGUAUGCAAACUGGUCAGAAAUGGCCUGUUACUGCUGUCACUGACAUUGAUAAAAAAAAUGCCAAUUGAAGCCAAAGGCUGAGAUAUUCAGAGUUAUCUUAGGAUCUCCGGUGAAAUUUAGUGUGAGAAAACAGAAAUGUGGUAGAUGAAUGUGAAAUUACAAUAACAAUCUUGUGUCUUAUAUGAGCUAAACUGUAUUUGGCUCGUAAACAUUAAAUCACCAAGAGAAAACAGUGACUACUGUCAUGCAUCAAUUUGUACUAGUCCAUUUGCCUUGUUAGGUGCUACUGAUGGCCUGCACAGAAAGACGAUGUUGCAAUAUUCACAUCCAUUUUAUUGCAUGCAGGUGAAGAUCUGCUUUCAGCUGACAUUUGACAUCCACAAUGUAUUUCAAAAUGCGUAUGCCUAAGGGACUACAGUGAAGCAGCCAGGAAGCCCUGGAACAAGCAACAUAUUGCAUCUUAACAAUGAGUGUGGCCAGUCUACUGCUGAAGCAAAGAAGCCAAAGCCUUGUUUUGUGAGCAUCAGGAAGACUCACAGAGCCUUUAUGGUCCGUUCUCCAAACUUCUUCAGGAUUCCACAUGUGUGUUCCUGCCUCAGGCCAUCUUCUCUGAUGGGCUUCACCACCUUUGGGGCCUAGUAGAAAGACAGUACAGACUGUGAAAAUGGAAGAAAGCCAAGGAAAUGCUUUGUGGUAAAACUACUGAUUUAAGUAGUUAAGUAGAGUUCAAGUCAUAUUUCACCCUGUCCUUAGCAGGGUGAAUUCUAACAUCAGAUACAGAGGCUGAAACAGAAAUAAUCAAUAGCUCUGUUUGAGCAUUUGUUUUGUUAUGGGAAAGCCAUUGGUCCCAUGCUACAAAACCAAACCUCACUUUGUAAUACCUGUCUCCGAAAGCAUUCCUCCAGGUUAUGAGUGGAGUCUUCAGCACUUCUGCAGCAGUCCUUCAUCAUCUCAUCAUAAUGGAUAGCAACAGAAAGGAUUGUAGGGGCAUAGAGGAAAGGAUGCCUUCUGGAAACCUCAUAGAUAAAACUAAAACAGAGAUAAAUGUUUUUAAUAUCAGAUUAAGCCUUGAAACGUAGGGAGCUGCAGUGGUAUUGUAGCAAAACAACAAGCUGUAUGAUGCAGUGUGUCUUGGAAGAAUUCUGACAUUUUUCUGGAAAUUAAAGGCUGAGAUCCUUCCAGUUCUGGUCUAGAGGCAGCGGAACAUCUGCUUGGCUUUUAAGGACUAAAGACAAAUCCCUAGUAUUUCAGGUGAAUGCUUUAUUUAAACUACAAUGAGAUAUAUCAGAUUGUUUUAUUUUUUAUUUGUUUGGACCUAUAUUCAAAGUAGGCUUUGGUAGAACAGGUUUCACAUGAUGAGAAAUAGACCUGGAUGAAUUAUUCAAAUAUUUAUCAUUUGGAAGAAAAAAGAGGAUGGCUCUACAGCAAGUCUCAUUGAACUUUUUGGUUGAUACUGCAUUUGUGGUCUCAAGGCUCGUAACCACUAUAUGCAGACAACAAAUCUAUGAGUCAUUUACUUACUAUCCUGGUAAUGAAUGGCGAUGCUCUGAAUAAUUUUUGCAGGCAACUUCAGCAUUUGGCCUUUCAAAAGGAGAAAUGAAUCCUUUUGAUGAAUUUUUAAGGGAGAGGAAGCAAUCAUUUCUUUCAGGGUCCUUUUUAGCACAGCAGUCAGUAAAUCCAGGAAGAUUGUCCUCCUGGCAUAUAGUGUUGAGGAAGAUCCUGUCCUGUGAAAAAUUAGAAAAAAAGCUAAUGUGUGUGAGGAUUCUAUUUCACCCCCAUGAGUUUUCUGAGGAGACUUUUUAACCCAAAAAGCCCUAAUUUGUGUAAAUGUAUAGUUUCUCUCUUUACUACCGCUGCUUUGCCUGCAGCGUCAGAGUGACUUCUAAAACAUAUGUCAAUUUCUGGUACCUACUAUUAUGCCAAGAUAGACUUUAUUAUGAGACAGUUUUCAAACAUAUUGUUCAGCUUCCACUGAACUUAAAACAUUCAGACCCUCAUUUCUUGACUAGAGUCAAGAUGAUUGUUUGAUUUGUAUAUCUCAACGGGAUCCAUAUUCUUUUCUAAUUAAAAUCAGUGUGUAGUGACAAGUCUCAGGUUUGUGUAACAACAGUUCUCAGGUUCCUUGUUCAUCACAUAGCAAUGCUCAGGUUUGCUGUCAGUCAUGCUUCAGCUGGGAAUUGUUUUAAUUCAGGAUUUGCAUCAGCCCCUUGCUUAACAAAUACAGGAGUUGUAACAGACUGAUAUCCAUUUUCCAUGAUUCAAUCUGCUGAUCUCUGACAGUGCAUUGAAGUGGACUCCACUGAAUACUAGCAAUGUGAGUUAAUGGAGUGGAGAAAGCUCCUAUGAGCAUCAUAGUUGCUAGAAAUAUCUAUUCUGACUUCUACUGAGUUCUGUUAUGAUAGACAUAAAAGCACAAGUUUACAAAUGUUUUAAGAGGUCAAGGAUUUCAAAAGCUACUGUGUUAUUUUCUAUGAAGGACUUUGUCAUCCUUUGCUCAUCUUGAGAUGUCUUUUAGGUGGGAGCAUGGAGAAGGAAAGAGUCAAUAAGAGCAAACAUUCACACACAAGUAAACCAUGUCUCCUAAUAUCUUACUCCUGCUGGAAAAAUGCAUACCAGUACCCUGAAAUUAUGUCACUUCUGAAAAUCUGUACUGCAUUAAAAGUACAAGCUUGCUUACCAAAGGCUUCUGACAGUUUGGAUUGUCUCUGUCUACAUCAGUGCACCUUUUGGCAAAGUCUGUUACAGCUUCAGCCAUUUUAACCACUUGGCCAAAUGUGUUUCCUUGCACGUACUGCGCAAACAUGAUCAUGGCUCUAUAAGAAGAAUGGAGAUCAUUAAGAAUGCUUCUGUCUAUCUAAAAAAUAAAAAUAACUGUAUUACUUUUUGCACGAGACAGUAAGAGAGCUUCUAUCACCAAUUCGCUCAGGCUGAUGGAACAGGGAGUGUGCAACUUGCAUUGCGUGCUCAUCUCCAAAUGACACAAAAUGCCAUAGGAAUGUUCACAGGCAGCAAAUUUGCAAGUAGAUUCUUUACCCAGACAACUUACAUGGCUUUAAAAUUGUUCUCUUGCAGCUGAGAAAACCGUUGGCUGAUGCUGUUUUUUUCCUCUGAAAAACAAGAUAAUUAGCGUUUGAAUAGAAUAUGUUUCAAAUGCUUCAUCAAAUACUUUUCUUUUUUAAAUAUACAGGAGUUUCAGAAAAACAGAAUGCAGUGCCAGUAGUACUAUUACUAAGGUGGAGGGCAUGAGGCAAUGCUAUCUAUUUGACUUGAAGGUGGGAAACAAUUUGUUUUUGAGCUAAAAUGUAAUUUCCCUGCCUAUUUCAUGCUUUGCAGAAGGGAGAUACAAUCAAACUUAGAAGGUGUUCAGCUAUGAUGGUACACAUCAUGUGAUUAAAUAAACGUCUUAGAAACCA